rnacentral:rRNA from 1 species
GAUGAACGCUGGCGGCGUGCUUAACACAUGCAAGUCGAACGGUGAACGAGGGAGCUUGCUCCCUCCGGAUCAGUGGCUAACGGGUGAGUAACACGUGAGCAAUCUGCCCUGGACUCUGGGAUAAGCGUUGGAAACGACGUCUAAUACCGGAUACGAGGCGUGGGGCCCUCCUCAACGCCUGGCAAGAACCUAGGUCCAGGAUGCGCUCGCGGCCUAGCAGCUAGGUGGUGAGGUAACGGCUCACCAAGGCGACGACGGGUAGCCGGCCUGAGAGGGUGACCGGCCACCCUGGGACUGAGACCCGGCCCAGACUCCUACGGGAGGCAGCAGUGGGGAAUAUUGCACAAUGGGCGCAAGCCUUAUGCAGCAACGCCGCGUGAGGGACGACGGCCUUCGGGUUGUAAACCUCUUUUAGCAGGGAAGAAGCGAAAGUGACGGUACCUGCAGAAAAAGCACCGGCUAACUACGUGCCAGCCGCCGCCGUAACAC